AUUGAACGCUGGCGGAAUGCUUUACACAUGCAAGUCGAACGGCAGCACGGACUUCGGUCUGGUGGCGAGUGGCGAACGGGUGAGUAACAUAUCGGAACGUAUCCAAUAAUGGGGGAUAACUAAUCGAAAGGUUGGCUAAUACCGCAUACGCCCUACGGGGGAAAGCUAGGGACCUUCGGGCCUGGCGUUAAUGGAGCGGCCGAUAUCUGAUCAGCUAGUUGGUGGGGUAAAGGCCCACCAAGGCGACGAUCAGUAGCUGGUCUGAGAGGACGACCAGCCACACUGGAACUGAGACGCGGUCCAGACUCCUACGGGAGGCAGCAGUGGGGAAUUUUGGACAAUGGGCGCAAGCCUGAUCCAGCCAUUCCGCGUGAGUGAAGAAGGCCUUCGGGUUGUAAAGCUCUUUCGCAAGGGAAGAAAACUUAUCCUCUAACAUAGGGUGAGGUUGACGGUACCUUGAUAAGAAGCACCGGCUAACUACGUGCCAGCCGCCGCAGUAAGAC
rnacentral:rRNA from 1 species